UGCCCCGUCGCCAAGCGGUGAGGCACCUGACUCUGACUCAGGCAUCGGUGGUUCGAAUCCAUCCGGGGCAGCCA
rnacentral:tRNA from 1 species